rnacentral:rRNA from 1 species
GACGAACCGUGCGAACGUUGUUCGGAAUCACUGGGCUUAAAGGGCGCGUAGGCGGCCUGGCAAGUGGAAGGUGAAAUCCCUCGGCUUAACCGAGGAACUGCCUCCCAAACUGCUUGGCUUGAGACCGGGAGAGGUGAGUGGAAUUCCCAGUGUAGCGGUGAAAUGCGUAGAUAUUGGGAGGAACACCAGUGGCGAAGGCGGCUCGCUGGGACGUGACUGACGCUGAGACGCGAAAGCGUGGGGAGCAAACAGGG